GGCCGACGGUCCAUCGUGAGGAUAUAAUCCAUCGCAUUUAUAUCUUAACAAAUAUUAUAUCAGAUAAGAUCUGAACAACCGGAUAUUCAGGUAUUGCUGUUUAUAUUAUAUUCUGUUUAUAUUUGAUAAUAAUCUAUAUAUACAGGGCUGGAGUCACAUGCCAGGUACGCUCCCUCUUAUGCUAUUUUGCUCUACAGUAUACUUGCGAUUCUUGACCUAAUUCAUUCUGAAUUAGCUGAGUGAUUUCAUUCCACAUUCUCAUAUUGAGAAUCCUUGGCCUUGCACUCAAGGCUCUUUAUUGCUACACCCUAACUUGGGCGUCGGAGUGCCAUUGCAGGUAUCUCCCCCCUCUGGUCAAAUAUUGGAGAUUUCCAGACGGUUGAAGAUUGAAGGAGAGCAGACG
rnacentral:lncRNA from 1 species